CAGCCGCCGCGGGAAUACGUAGGGUGCAAGCGUUAAUCGGAAUUACUGGGCGUAAAGCGUGCGCAGGCGGCUUUGUAAGACAGAGGUGAAAUCCCCGGGCUCAACCUGGGAACUGCCUUUGUGACUGCAAGGCUGGAGUGCGGCAGAGGGGGAUGGAAUUCCGCGUGUAGCAGUGAAAUGCGUAGAUAUGCGGAGGAACACCGAUGGCGAAGGCAAUCCCCUGGGCCUGCACUGACGCUCAUGCACGAAAGCGUGGGGAGCAAACAGGAUUAGAUACCCCAGUAGUCCCUGUCUCUUAUAC
rnacentral:rRNA from 1 species